rnacentral:rRNA from 1 species
GACGAACCGAGCGAACGUUAUUCGGAAUCACUGGGCUUAAAGGGUGCGUAGGCGGGCACGCGAGUCAGGGGUGAAAUCCCACGGCCCAACCGUGGAAGUGCCUCUGAUACCGCGGGCCUCGAGGGGGAUAGGGGCGUGCGGAACUUCCGGUGGAGCGGUGAAAUGCGUUGAGAUCGGAAGGAACGCCCGUGGCGAAAGCGAGCCCCUGGACGUCUACUGACGCUGAGACGCGAAAGCCAGGGGAGCGAACGGG